rnacentral:tRNA from 1 species
CAGAGAAUAGUUUAUUUAAAAUAUUAAUUUUGGGGAUUAUUGAAAAGUUAUCUUUUCUCUGA